UGGGGAAUAUUGGACAAUGGGCGCAAGCCUGAUCCAGCAAUGCCGCGUGGGUGAAGAAGGUCUUCGGAUUGUAAAGCCCUUUCGGCGGGGACGAUGAUGACGGUACCCGCAGAAGAAGCCCCGGCUAACUUCGUGCCAGCAGCCGCGGUAAUACGAAGGGGGCUAGCGUUGCUCGGAAUUACUGGGCGUAAAGGGCGCGUAGGCGGCGCAUUCAGUCAGGCGUGAAAUUCCUGGGCUCAACCUGGGGGCUGCGCUUGAUACGUUUGUGCUAGAGGUCAGAAGAGGCUCGUGGAAUUCCCAGUGUAGAGGUGAAAUUCGUAGAUAUUGGGAAGAACACCGGUGGCGAAGGCGGCGAGCUGGUCUGAUACUGACGCUGAGGCGCGACAGCGUGGGGAGCAAA
rnacentral:rRNA from 1 species